rnacentral:rRNA from 1 species
UACGGAGGGUGCGAGCGUUAAUCGGAAUUACUGGGCGUAAAGGGUGCGUAGGUGGUUUGAUAAGUUAUCUGUGAAAGCCCUGGGCUCAACCUGGGAAGGCCAGAUAAGACUGUUGAACUAGAGUAUGGGAGAGGGUAGUGGAAUUUCCGGUGUAGCGGUGAAAUGCGUAGAGAUCGGAAGGAACACCAGUGGCGAAGGCGGCUACCUGGCCUGAUACUGACACUGAAGCACGAAAGCGUGGGGAGCAAACAGG